rnacentral:lncRNA from 10 species
CUCUGGGGGAUAAGGAAUCACUUUCAAGCAUGUAUCCUAAAAUUGGAAUGACACAUGGAAGGCGGCACGGCCCCCAAGAGUGACAUGCAAAUUGGUGAAACAUUUCACAUUUUUGGAAUCCAGAAGAUGAUAGAGUGACAUCUUUAAACUGCUGAAAGAAAAAAGCCAAACAAACUGGCCAACCUUUUGGAGGAGAUAGUCUUCAGAAAUGAAGCAUAAACAAAAAUAUCUCCAAACAAAAGCUAAGAAAAUUCAUCACCAGCAGCUCCACCUCCAAGAAACCCCAGAGCAAGUUCUUUGGGCUGAAGGAAAGGGACCCCAGUGGAAGCAUCAAAAUGCAGGAAGGAAUGAAAAACACAGAAAAGGGGAAAUAUUGGGUGAAUAUACAAAAAUGUUAGCUACGUAAGGUAAAAAUAAACGAGUCAAUGCUAAAACGUCUAUCAGUGGUGCCAGGGCGGGAGAGGAACAAUGGAACCAGAACAUUUACCAAAAUAGACCAUAUGCUGGGCCCUAGAGCAAGUCUCAACAGAUUUCAAAGGGCUGAAAUCACAUAAGAGUGUGUUCUCUGACCACAGUGCAAUUAAACAAGAAAUUAAUAACAGAAAGAUAAUUGGAGAAUCCCCAAGUGUUUGGAAAUUAAGCAACAUACUUCUCAAUAACCUCUGGGUCAGAGAAGAAAUCACAGUGGAAAUUAGGAAAUACUUUGAACUGAGUGAUGAUGAAAAUAAACAUUGAAACUUGUGGGAAGUGGCUAAAAAAAUGCUUAAGUGGAGACUUUUAGCUUAAAAUGCAUGUAUUAGGAAAUAAGAAGGAUGAAAAUCAAUGAUCUAAGUUUCUGUCUCCUAAAACUAAAAAAACAAAAACCCCAAAACCGAGUAAAUUAAGCCUAAAGAAAGUGAAAGGUAACAAAGACUUGGAACCAACCCUAAUGUUCAUCAAUGAUAGACUGGAUUAAGAAAAU